GAAAUCACAAUAUAUGUUGUGUGCAUUCAUGCAGUAAAACCAAAAGCCUGUCUUAAUUGUAAAAUCAUUCCACAAUUAACACUUUAUAAAGAGUCUACAUUAGGUUCAACAUAAGGUUACCAUUUGUCCAGUAUCCUCCAAAAAUGAUUUCUGGUUCUGCAGAAUAUUCAGCCACCAUUGUGGGUUGUAGUUGUAGAAUUUUUUCCUAUUUUGUAAUGCGUGUUUAUGUGUUCAACAUAAACGCCAUGUAACUCAUUUGUUUUAUAUAAACUAGAAUACGAAACCACGCACACUAACAAAGGAGGAAAGUAGAUGCACAGAACACAGGUCAAUUGAUAAAACAUCAUUUUUUUUUUAUUGAACGCCGUUCCUACUGCUGCAGACAGACAAGCCGUGGCACAGGGAGCGCGCGGUGGUUCAAAACAAUUCAGUCCUCCUGUCAAUCUCGCCCGGGAUCUCUCUGACAACACAAAGGAUCCUCCGCAUGAGAGGAAACACGCAGAAGAACGCCGUUUGGCAACCAUUAACAUCUCGCAAUGAAGAAACACACACAGACCCCUCAGAAGUCAAAACAGCAAAAUGAAAGCGUGCGUUCUGCAUUUUUAAUAGUAAACAGCGUCUCUACUUCCCACUGAACUAGAUAGAUAAAGAAUAUCAAAAGAGCAGAGAGGCCUUCGCGGCGCGUCAGACUCCGCCCACUUCUUUCAACCAUGUUUUUUGCCUCGUGGAAAAAGGUUUUUUUUUUUUUUUUCAGAAGCGGCGGAUCUCUCUCGUGUCUCCCGCUCUUCCUCGGAUGGCCCGCAGCGUUACAGCGGAGUGUGCUGCUCUACACGCUUAAAGAGUAAUUAAAAGCGACUGAACAGCUGUAAUUAUGAGAAGCGACGGCUGGGUUCCGGGUCAUUCCGUGAGCGCUGCCUUUCAUCAGAGCACAGGCAGCGAUCGCCCCGCUGCUCUGUCUGCUCCCUCACAUCCACGUCUGGCAGCGCAAACACUGGAGAGACAUUCACACACACACACACACACACACACACACACACACACACACACACACACACACACACACACACACACACACACACACACACGCAAACGCACGUACGCGAGCACAUGAACACACACACACACACGAGCGCACACGCAGACACACACAUCCAUAUAACGCAUGCACUCACACACACACACACACACACACACACACACACACACAAACACACACACACACACACACACACACACAUACAUGCAUAGGGACACACAGGUGUACAACACACACACACACACCCAUAAACACACACACAUACAUGCACACAAACUGGUAGACAAACACACACACACACAUAUAAAUGCACACACCGGAAGACAGACACACACACCUCAGUGCACAUGUGAUUGAAAACACAACUGCACACAAAAAGGCAUGUGCCAACGCACACUCAUGCAUACACAAUAAAAACUCAAAGAAAAAAACAACUGCUUGUCUCCAGUCAUUGCACAAAGACAACAACUGACAAGCACAGGAACUGACGCACACACACAUGCAGGAAAAGACACACACACACACACACACACAUGUGGGCAAACACACACACAAGCACACGCACAUCAAGCACACUAUCAUACUGUAAACAUGAAAGAACACAUUCCUUCUUUUCCCCCCACUGGGUGACUCUCAUCCUCCUCAUCCUCAUGUCUGAACACAAAAAGGGCAAAGCUACCAAGUGAAAGUGAACAAUGCAAUAGAAAGUGAGAAAGUCCUCAUCAUGAUCAGCGUGGUUAUGUACUGCUCUGUAGAAAGGUGACGCUGUAUAAUAACUGUUUCCGGAGGAAGCAUACACACAUACAUACAUGUACUGUGCCUACCACUACUGGGACUAUUAAUAUUCAGAGGCCAUCCCCAUACAAAGCCUAUCUGGGUUACAUGAGAUCAAGCAACGGAGUAUCGGAGACGAGGAAUACCCUCAUGUCGAGAGGAAACACUGCAAUGCGGGUAGAGAAAGGUACAUCUUGUCAGGCCAGCACGACGCACUAAAAUACGGCAGCUUUGUCAGCUACCGAAGCACUCCUAGCCUGGCCGAGUGGCUGUAGCUCCUAGCCUAGCGUUAGCUCCUAGCAUAGCGUUAGCUCCUAGCCACUGUCAACGCCACCCUCUCUAGGUCGCGGGUGGCCGCGGCUCCGACGGCGAUGUGGAUGUACUGGGGGCCAUGGGUAGUUAGGGGAGAAGGGUGCGGGGGUUUAAGGGGUGGGUGUUCAGUAGGAAGGGUGGAUGCAUUGGAGUGGGUUCACUUGAUGAUAGCGGAGAUUAGACUUCAGGGCUGAUUUGCUGCUUGUUUUCUUCUUUUACCCCUCUAUCUCUCUCCUGGUGGAUCCCUCAUUCCUCACUUCAUCCGUUUCCUUCACAUUCUGUGGGGAAAGACAAAUAUAGAGGUUCAUAGUUGUCUUUUAUUUUAAAGGUUUUUAAUUUAAAUAUAAAAUAAAUGGAAAGAUAAAGAUAGGACGUUGAUGAUUCAUUCAUCAACACAUCUGUAUAAAUAUAUAUAUAUAUAUAAAUAUAUUCAUUUAUAAUAUCGAUGAUCUACAUAUACUAUGCAUGAGUGUUUAUGUGUGUAUCUAAGUACGACCUGUCCUUAAGUGCAUGGCGAUGACAGGC
ensembl:lncRNA